AGAGCGCGCGGUGGCGCGGGCGCGGAACUGCGACUCUGAGAAUCUGUACCCUGCAGCGGCAGCCGUGCCUCGGCGCUUCUCACCUGCGUCUCUCUUGCCGGCCUGGCGCCCGCCCCACGCCGCCCGGCCCCGCGCACCUGUAAACCCGAGGCCCAGACUGCCUCUGACCCUGGUGCUUUUCCGGGCUUGGCGGAGGGGUUCCCGGCGGGGAUUCCUGGGGUCGCGCUGGUGAUAAGCAGGGAAGAAAGACUAGCUGCUGCGUCCAAGCUGGGUGCUCUCCGAGCGCAGGGAGGCAGGCUGCGAUCGGCGGGGCGCAGCUGGGGGAGCCCGGGCCGGCGAACCUGCGCGCGAUCUCCGCGGGUCCCCGGCGCCGAGGCCAGGACGGCCGGCGCUUUGGCCUUGGAUGGAAAUGGGGACUGGUCCUCCGGGCCCUCUACCGUGGAUUACUUGGUGCAUCUCUGCCGGGCUUGAUGAACCACGACCUCGUCUCCAUCCGUGGAUUGGUGCGUGCUACCCAAUAGUCGGGUCGUUUCCCUGGAGGUGAAAUCAGAGGGCUGUGGCUGACCUGAAUAGAUGCAUAGAUGCUUUGAACCAAGAAAGCAGGACAAGUUGAAAGGCGAGCUGCACCCCGAAAUCAAGGCCUGGGAGGCAGGACAGGUGGAGAACUGUUCCUCUCGCCCACAGUCCCCACCAGGAACCUCAGUGUAACCAGGAAGACCCCAAGGAGCUAAGAUGGGACCUUCUCUUAAGAGGCAAGUGCUCUGGAUUGGAAUGAGAAGUCUUAUUUUGGAGAAUGGACUUCCCUGGUGGCUCAGUUGGUAAAGAAUCUGCCUGCAACAUAGGAGACCCAGGUUCGAUCCCUGGGUCAGGAAGAUCCCGUGGAGAAGGAAAUGGCUACCCACUCCAGAAUUCUUGUCCCAUGGACAGAGGAGCUCGGCAGGUUACAGGUCCAUGGGGUUGCAAAGAGUUGGACGCAACUGAGUGACUAACACACACACGCUUUCUGGAGGCUAAAGGAGCUUCUGGAUUUAAGAAGAUGUUUGAGGAGAAAGCAAAGAACCUCGGCCUGAGGAAUCCUGUGUGUGUUGACCUGUGUGAACAGGAGGCCACCUCCAGCUGAAGGGGAAGCCAUGACCGUGGACCUUAUAACUUCUUCUGCUGGUGCCUGGUCUUCAGACCGUCCCCCACCAGUCCUCGGAAACCAGAGGGUUUUCUCCUGCAUUCUUUCAUUCUCGCCACCUCCCACGUCUGCUGAGCCUUCGGACUCAGCAGUUCUCUUUUACUCCAUCACUUCUCAGCUGGAUAUAGAGCAAAAAGUUCACUACACAUAAGUCUACUGAUCUUACAUUUUGCUCCUUCUGAAAAGGCCGGUGUUUGCAUGUUGCUGUACAAGCAGCCUUGGAAGAGCAUCCCUCCUCAUUGUAUGUGUGUGGGGUCUGGCCCCACAGGCUCCAACAUGAUGCAGGUCUGUGCAGAAAUUCUUCAGGCUGUAAAGAUGCUAGGGCGUUGGAGGGGCCCUCGCAGGCAGCUGGAUCCUGAAGGCUGGCGUCACCCACGUUCACCUUCUCGGUUUGGAUUGCACACAGGUGCACGUCUGGAGGAGCAGAACACGGACACGUCUUCUGUUGACACAGAUGCGUGAUCAGCUCCCAGCGGGGCAGUCGGAGUCCACGUCAGAACACCGUGCUUCGUUACAGACUAUCCAGCGGCCAGAGUUGAUGGUGUUUCUAGAGGACCCCUUCUUUCCAGUGUGUCCGGACCAUAGAUGGGGCCCCACAAAACCCAAGUCCUGUUGAUGAAGUGAACCUUUUCUGUUGAGAACAAAACAGCUCAUGAUGAAACAAAAAUAAUACAGCCACUGGAAACAAUGGAAAAUAGACUGUGGGAUGUGUGUGUGUGUGUGUGUGUGUGUGUCACACGUUUGUAUAAAAUAAGAGCCAAGAAGAAAAUUUCUGCAUCUUAGCUAGACAGACUAAGAGCUAAAAACUCUUGGGGUGGUGUUGUCUGGAGAGUGAAGGAGUUGGCUGGAAGACUUCCUGACAUUCCUUUGACCUCUAGGGUCCCGUAAAAUAUCAGGGGCGUGUAAACUGGGCCGAAGUGUGUGCUUUCUGUCUGAAGUCUCCUGGAUAACCUUCGAGGUCAGCUCAGAUGCUGUAGACUCGGAACUCCCCUCCCCCAAUUCCCUUCCCUUUCCAGACACGGGCUUUAUCUGGGAUAAGGCAGCGGAACUUGGUAGUGGUAGCGGGGGAGAGAGAAGGAGGUUGCGCCAGCCACAGUUUGGGGGUGCUCUCGACAAGUGAGAACAACCAGAAGGCAAAUUACAGGUUCUUCCCAGGUGAGUGAAAGCCAGGCUUUCGGGAGCGCAUGCCAUCCUGAAGUUGUUGCUUCUUGUCAGAGGAUCAGGGCUUUAUCUCUUCUGCUGAAAGACAGGCUUAAGCAUCUCAUCUAACCCUGCUCAUCUUGUUUGGUGGCCCCGGCGGGGGGCGGGGGUGUACGGAGGUCAUCACCUACUAGGGUAGAGAUGAGCACGCAAGCAUCUGGAAAAGACUCUGUCACUGCACACCUGUCGAGAUAAAGACCCAACCUCCUGCACGUGUGUCUUUCCCUGUGUCCUGAAUUUCCGUGCCUUCACUGCUGUUGAAGGAACACUGGCCAGUUCCUGGGGUGUCAUUGUUCUUUUUUUUUUUAAAAAAAAGGACUCAUUUCAGAUGUUUCCCUCAUUUUUAUACCCCACAUGUGGUCAUUGGUUCCAGAAGAAGUCCCACUGUGGUGCCAAAAGCAGAAGUUUCCUCUUUUUCCCUCUUUUCUUCUCUUCUCAUCCACGUCGAAUCCCAGAUCCCCAGAGCCUGAAGUGGUCUAGAGCAUCGCUGUUAUCUAGAUCUACCCUCGACUAGUGCGGGAAUCCCGUUUCCAGCAUCGGAUGCGGGAUGGGCAGGCCGUGGGGGAGGCAGCCUUUCUGGCAGCUUGAGAGAGACCUGGGAGAGAAGGUUGGAUGAUGUUCAGCCUUAGGGGGGACAGCAGAAUUCCAAGGAGUACUUCAUCCACAUGUGUCAAUUUCUUCAUCUGAUAGUGAGCCAAAGGCAUCUCAUUUCUGGGUCCGGCUGUGUGUCUUACGCUGAUAAAAAAGCAGAGAGUAGGGAGACAAGGAGACCUGAGUUUUUGUCCCAGGAAGUCCCACUUCUCAGCUCUUUCCGUGUAAAAUGAGGGAGUCACAUCACACAUUCCCCAAAACCCCUUCUAGCCAUGUCAUCCACAGUGUCGCCAUAUGGAAGGAUAGAGUUCAUGACUUAAAAAUUUUGCUAUUUUUUCUUCUCUCUGGCUCAAGUCCUAGCCUUAAUUUCCUUUUCCCUUAAGUUUUUAAAAAGUAUCCAGCAGUUGUUUGUCUAUCUGAUGAUUUAUUUUUUGGUUGCGUCUCAUGGCGUGUGGGAUCUUUGUUCCCUGACCAGGGAUUGAACUCUCACCUCUUGCAAUGGAAGCAAAGAGUUUUAAUGACUGGACCUCCAGGGCAGUCCCCGGGUUGAUUUCAGCUUGCUCCAAGCUCAUGUAUAAGUCACUCAAGCCUUUUUCUCCAGGUCUCAGUUUUUCCCAUCAAUAAAAUGGGAGAGGAAGGGGGUGGUCUUAAUGGUCCUCCAAGUUCUCCUCCCGUGUGUCCCGUUCUAAGCCUUGUCUGACGCAGCCCAUGGCUGACAGGUAGCUCUUGCUUUGCCUUCGGCCACACCAGCCAGAGACAGGGCUGUCUUAGGAAGUCCAUUACCAACGACUCCUUCAAAGCCGUUUGUACUUGUCAGUGCACCGAGCAAGAGUUUGUCGAAGGAGAAGGCAAAUAGACAUACAGACUGAUGACAGGCCAGGGGGAGGGGGCCCGCUGUUUGCCCGGGGUGACUGGGAGGCAGAGAAAAAACCUGCCUGCCGUCUUGACCAAUAAAUAAAAACUGGGAGCUCUGCGUGGCUAAAACUGUAGGGGAUUUAUUAGCUUGCUCAGGGAAAGGCAAAUAUUGAGCCUUACGUUGGCCCGGCCUGGGACUUGCCUUUUGGCAUUUGUAUGCCGUCCGGCACCCAUCACCGUGUACUCCAGGUUAUCGGGUUCUGUCGAAGGCUUUUUUUAAAAGGAUUUUUUCCGUCUCCUUCUUCUUUCCUUCCUCCUUGCCUGCCCCCUCGCCCCCACCCCCCAGCUCCCACCUUCUCCGAUAGCUCAGCCCUGGGCUUCAGCGAGGCAGGGAAGACAGCAUGGAAGCCUUGUCGUCCUGGGUGUGAGGCGCCUGUGUUCAGGGCUCCAGCUGCCCAGGGGGUUUACCGUGGCCGUGGCUCGGGGCUGCAAACCCGCCAGGUGGUCCUUGGGGGGUCUCCUCCCUCCUCCGCCCUGAGCGCUUCAGAAGUCAGGUCCCAGGCAGUUGGGCGAAGCUCGUGCCUCUCAUUAAAAUAAGCAUCACCACCACUGGAAAAAAAGACACAGACCUCCUGGUUUCUAAGUUUUUCACAGUGAACACGUGAUUUCGGCCUGAAAUGCCCAACGGUGAACUGACCGGGCUUGUCACUCUCCACGUGAGGCCGGCUGGGACCUGGGACACUGCUGUACCUAGACAGCAUCUCCUCCAGCAACAAAAGACAAAGAGACGGUAAGGACUAGACAUGACUGUGAUGUGCAGCUGGGGCAAAUGCUGGACAAUAACAUAACAGAAAGACUCAAAAGCCAACUGCCACUUUUGAGGCACCUGGAGCAAAAGCAGGGGGUGGAGAGCAAACGCAGGGUCCUGCACGUGUCCCCUGCACACAGCACCUCCCAGGUUUGCCCACCCAGGCCCCGCUCUGCCUGACCCCUGGACCUGCCUCCUGCCCUCGCCCCAUGGAAGGAGCCAGCUCCCUCCACUUGGGGAACAAGCAAGGGGGCCUGUUACUUGUUUUCAUUGCCCACUGCUGUAGCAGGAGCCUGAAUAAAGCUUGCCUGAAUUUUCU
rnacentral:lncRNA from 1 species